rnacentral:rRNA from 1 species
AUGGAGGUCUCCAAGAUCAAGAUGCCAGGCUUGUGCUUGCUGCUGCUCAUGCCACUCCUGUUGCUUCCUGGAUCUGAAUCUGGCGAUUAUUGCAAGGUGUUGAGCAAGACCUACACUACUUUUCACUGCACGGACAAUCCAUGCGCUGAGCACUGCCGCAAUGAGGGCUUCCCUCGUGGGUGGUGUGAGUUCGUCUCCUUAGAACCUCUCGCCUUAGUCUGCUUCUGCAGGAAACCCUGCUGA